UCCCGGGUUCAAGCUGCUCUCCUGCCUCAGCCUCCUGAGUAACUGAGACUACAGGUGCCUACCGCUGCCCGGAUAGUUUACCUUUAGGUGUUCGGAUCUGCAGUCUAGCUGGGAUCCCAUCGACAGACAGCAUUGCGCCCCAGGCCUGUGAGUGAAGAGACCUCCACAUAUUCCAGCCCCACCCCUAGCCAUGGAGUCUUCUCAGCUGAGACCCCAGACAUCACGGAGCAGAGAGAAGCAGUCCCUGCUGUCCCCUGGCUGAAUUCCUGACCCUCAGAAUCUUUUGCAGACUUGUCGCAAAGGAGCUGAGGCAUGAGGAGACAUUCUGUAAACUGUAUCACGUGGCACAGUUGUGAGGUGGUGGUGGUGCUGUGGAACAAGGUCUCUUGGUCAUAACAGCAGGAUCACACUGGCAGGCUGGGGUGAUGUGACACCCAACCAACCAAUAUAAAGAUCCUCAUGCUAUGCACAUAUAACCAAAUCAAGGCACCAGUAUUUACUGUGGAAUUCAAGAGGAAAAGCUCAGUCUCUGUGGGAAUGGCUUAUAAACAGUGAAUUUGAUCUCUAAUAAACAUCUUGCAUCUCAAAAGCCAUCCCAUCAUCUGCUUCUGGAGAGUCUAACUUGCAGCAUCUUCCAUGGUGUAUUAAUCAGGAUUUUCCAGAAAAGCAGAACCAAUAGGAGAUACAUUUAUGGAGAUUUAUUUACUGUGGGAAUUGGCCCACACAACUGUGGAGGCUGAGAAGAUCCACGAUCUGCUAUCCGCAAGCUGGAGACCCAGAGAAGCUGAUGCUGUAAGUCCUGGUCUGAGUCCAAUGGCCCAGGAGCCAGAAGUGCUGAUGUUCAAGGGCAGGAGGAGAGGGAUGUCCCAGCUCAAGGACAGAGAGAGUUAAUUCGCUCCUCCUCUCUUCCUCCUCCUUUUUGUUCUAUUCGGGCUCUCAAUGGAUUGGAUGAUACCCACUGUAUUAGAGUGUUCUUGUAUUGCUAUAAAGAAAUACCUGUGACUGGGUAAUUGAUAAAGAAAAGAGGUUUAAUUGGCUCACGGUUCU